rnacentral:rRNA from 1 species
GGGGGGGGGUGGGGGCGGGGGGGGGGGAUGGGAGGGGAGCGGGAGGGCCUCUUUCGGGGGGUACUCGAGUGGCGGACGGGUGAGUAACACGUGAGUAACCUGCACUUGACUUUGGGAUAACUUCAGAAAAAUUGGGCUAAUACCGGAUCGGCGCUCCUGAUUCAUGGUGGUGGUUGGACAGUUUCGGCGGUUGGGGAUUGCCUCGCUGCUUAUGAGCGUGUUGGUGGGGUAGUUGGUUACCAAGGCUUUGACGGGUAGACCGCCUGAGAGGGGGACCGGCCACAUUGGUACUGAGAUACGGCCCAGACGCCUACGGGAGGCAGCGGGGGGGAAUAGUGCACAAUGGGUGGAAGCCUGAUGCAGCAACGCCGUGUGCGGGAUGACGGCCUUCGGGUUGUAAACCGCUUUCGCUCAUGACGAAGCUUUGUGUGACGGUAGUGGGUAAAGAAGCACCGGCUAACUACGUG